rnacentral:lncRNA from 1 species
AAUCAAGGCUGCAGGAGGAACAAAAUCUGCCUGUCGCUGACCCGGACGUGGUGAGCCGUCCAGGAUCUCUAGAUGGAGUGACACAGUCGCAGGCGACCCUCUAAAUGGAAGAGGGUGCUGGGGAGUUAGGGAACUGGGCCUUGUGCUGCUGGCCCUGGAGGUGGAGGAAGUGGACAGGAGCCCGGGAGUGCAGGUGACUGCGGGGCGUGGGACGCCCAGAGCAGGCCCCCAGGCUCCGAGGGACACUGUGCUUCGAGCUCCGUGAGACUGGUUUCAGACCUCUGACUGCCCCAAUUACAGGUCUCACGAAGUCACUGGGUUGCCCAGGCAGGGCAAGAACUUGUGCUCCUCCUGCCUCAGCCUCCCAGAGAGCUGAGGUAACAGUGCACCCCACGCCCCGCAGAAGUCCCUGUUUAAGCCACCAGGUUUGGGGACGCGCUCAGCCACCAUGGAACUUGAGUACCCCACUCAGCCUCCACCUCUUCAUCUGGGCAGUCCCAGCCCUUCCCAGCCCCUUGGGGACAGCAUCGAGGGC